rnacentral:tRNA from 1 species
GCCCGGGUGACGAAAUCGGUAGACGUACGGGACUUAAAAUCCCGAGCCGCAAGGCGUGCGGGUUCAAGUCCCGCCCCGGGCACCA